AACGAACGCUGGCGGCAUGCCUAACACAUGCAAGUCGAACGAGACCUUCGGGUCUAGUGGCGCACGGGUGCGUAACGCGUGGGAACCUGCCCUUAGGUUCGGAAUAACUCCCCGAAAGGGGUGCUAAUACCGGAUAAUGUCUUCGGACCAAAGAUUUAUCGCCUUUGGAUGGGCCCGCGUUGGAUUAGCUAGUUGGUAGGGUAAAAGCCUACCAAGGCGACGAUCCAUAGCUGGUCAGAGAGGAUGAUCAGCCACACUGGGACUGAGACACGGCCCAGACUCGUACGGGAGGCAGCAGUGGUGAAUAUUGGACAAUGGGCGAAAGCCUGAUCAAGCAAUGCCGCGUGAGUGAUGAAGGCCUUAGGGUUGUAAAGCUCUUUUACCCGGGAUGAUAAUGACAGUACCGGGAGAAUAAGCACCGGCUAACUACGUG
rnacentral:rRNA from 1 species